rnacentral:rRNA from 1 species
CCUACGGGAGGCAGCAGUGGGGGAUAUUGCACAAUGGGGGGAACCCUGAUGCAGCGACGCCGCGUGGGUGAAGGAGCGUUUCGGCGCGUAAAGCCCUAUCGGCAGGGAAGAAGGAGGACGGUACCUGACUAAGAAGCCCCGGCUAACUACGUGCCAGCAGCCGCGGUAAUACGGAGGGGGCAAGGGUUAUCCGGAUUUACUGGGUGUAAAGGGGGCGCAGACGGCAGCGCAAGCCAGGAGUGAAAGCCCGGGGCUGAACCCCGGGACUGCUCUUGGAACUGCGCGGCUGGAGUGCAGGUGGGGCAGGCGGAAGUCCUGGUGUAGCGGUGAAAUGCGUAGAUAUCAGGAGGAACACCGGUGGCGAAGGCGGCCUGCUGGACUGCGACUGACGUUGAGGCCCGAAAGCGUGGGGAGCGAACAGGAUUAGAUACCCUGGUAGUC